ACAUCGAAGAAGGGUGACUUAAUCCGAAAAAUUUGUAUAAAUAUGUAUAUGUGUGUGUGUAUUCUUUUUUAUGUUUAGCUUGCAACAAUUACUUCCCACAAUAUCGUUGAAUUACUUAAAUUUACUAAUAUAAAUUAUCUAAAAUUGUUGUUUACAUCUCUAACGUCUAAUUGUACUCUGACCUAGCCGCAAGGGAUGCUGCCGGAUGGGAAUGGGCACCCAUUGCCUUUCGGGAUUGCAGAGCUUGAGGCUUUGAUAGUGAGUGGGCGGUGGUGCUCAGGUUCUAGGUCCCUCUAAGGUUUGAAUGUUGCAGGCACUGCUGCGAUAUGGGUUCUGCCCUGCGGCGGCGAUGGUGACUUCUCGAGGAUCUGCUGGAGGAUUAGGGAGCAAAGAACCCAUGUCCGGGUGGUUGGUUUUGCCGGAUAGCUCUGGGUGUUUGGGUUGCUGAAUCUCUACGGUUCGAUGGGAGUCUUUUGGAUGAUGGCAUCGUGGCAGUGAGGCGUGGCGUCAGAGAUUUGCUGGUCUUGGCGGCGAGGUUUCCGGGUGCAUGCGACUGUUCUGAUAAGAGGGGUGAAGACUUGAUGGGCCAAGCAACUCAUGUUGGGCUUUGGGUGCUGCUCUCCUUUGGGCCUAGGGUUUUUACUACCUUAGGUCUGGGCUGCUAUUUAACUAAGUAACUUUAGCUGUUUCUAUUUUCAAUAAAAUUCCCAACUUGUUUUUAGGGAACUAAGCACUUAUUGUGCAAUCUA